rnacentral:misc_RNA from 1 species
CAAGUUCUCAACCAUGCUGGGGUUUUUCUUGGUGUGGCUUGGAUUUGGGGGUUGCAGGCCCGAGAUCAGCUCCCCUGAAAAGCAUUAGUGGUAUCUGAGCAGACUAAAACCACCUUGGGUGUGAUAACUUGAUCUAUGCCUUGGUGGAUAUACAAAUGCAUGAACAGAUAGUGCCGCUUCUGAAUGAAAUGAACAUUUGGU